AGGGGAAGGGGGAGAAAGAGAAGAAGAAGAAGAGAGAGAGAGGCAGCGAGACAGUCAGAUGGACGAGAUGCAGCAGCGAAGACGAGGAGGAGGAGAAACAAAGCGUGUUGACUGAGGAAGUGAGAGUGCCAUGCGAGGGCCAUGUGCUCAGGCUUCCCACGACGCCGUGCGAGUCCGUCCGUCAGUCUCCUCGCGAGCGAGGGGACAUGUGUGGAGAUGUCACCGCUGCGACGGAGGCGUCGCCCCCUCUGUCCCCGCGACGACGAGAGGCUCCGUCACGCGACGUGGGCCUGAACUCCUCCCGUGAGCGGCGGUUGGGGGCGAAUUCUGCACAGAAGCACGAU